rnacentral:lncRNA from 1 species
GAGUCGCUGCGAGCCGGCCUCAGGCAGGCCGCGGCCUCCUGGCGCGGGGCUGACCGCUGAGCAGAGCUGAGCCGACUCAGGGGAGGGAGCAUGUGGCUGCGACUGCGGUGACAGGGCCGUGGCCCGCUGUGGAGGCGCAAGACAGAGCGUGAGACGUAGGAAAUGCACAUUUGAAAUGUAUGGCAACAACUUCUGCAGCCGGCGAAACGCGAACCGUGGCCUCUUGGCCUUGCCCCCUCACCGCCGCGGCUCUCGUUGCAGUCAAGAGUGCCUGGCACGCUUUGCACUGAGGCGCACGGGGAGGCCCGGGAACCGAGCGAGCGGCAGUUUCGCGGGACACCGCUGGGCCCCGCCUCCCCUCCCUUCCCUCCCCU